UACAGAGGUCCCGAGCGUUGUUCGGAUUUAUUGGGCGUAAAGGGUGCGUAGGCGGCGGUGUAAGUUGGGUGUGAAAUCCCGGGGCUCAACCUCGGAAUGGCAUUCAAUACUGCUUCGCUAGAGUACUGGAGAGGAGGCUGGAAUUUACGGUGUAGCAGUGAAAUGCGUAGAUAUCGUAAGGAAGGCCGGUGGCGAAAGCGAGCCUCUGGACAGUUACUGACGCUGAUGCACGAAGGCCAGGGGAGCAAACGGG
rnacentral:rRNA from 1 species